rnacentral:lncRNA from 1 species
UGCAUUGCUAGCCUUUUUGUUCUUCUUUUCGGCGAGUUCUCUCGACAAGAGGUAACUUGUCUCGAUGGCUUGAGCUAUCGGGGCUAUUAUGUCGCUUUAGAUGUUUUAGUCCUUUUAUCAUGACCAUCUACUAUCAUAUGUCUUAGUUAAUCUAGUCUUAGUAUCUCGAUUUAGCCUUAUCGGCUGGUUGCCGCUUUAGGGUUCUUGUUGAUAUCGGCUAAAUCAUCUUACUAGAAUAAAUUAGCUAAGGAAUCUACCAUCCUAAAAAUUGGUUAAUUACUUGAUUGUUUAGACUUUAGGUUUCUUUACAUACUUUGCGAUGCAUCAUCCCUAGUCUUGUCUUGAACCCUAAAAAACUAACCUGCAAUUAAUCAUAAUUAAGGAUAGUAUCAGAGUUCAGCCGAUCUUACCUAAUAUACAUGCUUCUUUACUAGUUUUAUGUAUAUUUGCCACUUAUAUAGACAGAUCACCUUAUAUAAAUAUAGGCAAAUUUUCCUACAGGACAUCGCAAUUGUGUGGUUUUAGCUUAGGGACACUGCGAAAGUGAUGUUUUGGGGGAAGACAUACCAUAAUCGUGGAUAUUUGCCGAUGAACACCGCGCCGUCUUGUCGGGUCCCAAAACUAAUGAUUCGGAAACCGACAUGUUUAGACUGUAUCAAGCCCUGGAUCAGUAGAUUGAUAUAGGUUCAAUGAUCUGGAUCUUCAUUGCAUACAUUUGAUCAAGGUUUCAAAGGAGAUAAUAUUACAAAAUAUAAGGGUAUUUACAAGCUUGUGGCUAACUAUUACAGCAGAAGCUAUACGAUGACUCAACUCUAGUGUUUUGCUAUAGACUUAAACCAUCUAUCUAAUCUAUACUUGAGAACUAAGUUAAAAUGAGAUUAACUUAUAUGAUUGAACUCCCGGCUUCAGUAAGAACAUCAAACGGACUCUGAAAAAAAUGUGGGGUUGAAGCAAGGGUGAGUACAACAUACUCAGUAAGCUAUUAUAUUAAUCAACAAUGAAUGCAUGGAAUAAUAAUAUUUGAGUAGGGUUAGAUUUACUUGCAGAAUGCAGAGAAUAUAGAAGGAAAGUCUAUAAUGUUUUAAAUGCAACAGUAUUUAAUAAAGUUUGAAAUUAUGUUUCUAACCAAGAUAUCAUUGUGAGUCCCAAUGCCCGAUAACCGUGAGCACGGCUAUUCGAAUAGUUUUAAUAAUAUUCAUACUGCAGUAGAUGUACGCUUUACCCGCAAUCCAUGACGUGCCAAACACAUUAGCCUUGUCAUGGCAAAGCUUUUCGGUCACUAACAUCAGUAGUACCUGUUCCAUGAACUCUAGUCCCCAUACGCUCUGAACGUAAUGUUAUCAGCAGCGAGAGUAGUUCUAGCGUUCCCGGGGUUUUUAGAGAGAACUGGUUGAGAGACCCCCGUCAUCUCAAUCAGGUUUUCAUAAUUCACACACACAGCUCGCGAGAUAAUCAAGAUAUUUACCUGCGCCUCGGUAAAUAUCACAAUCGCCCUGCUCGGUGUAAGUUUGCCUCCUGCGCGAGGACUUAAGAAGAACCACUAUACAGAGGUAUCACCUUUGCUAGAUAACUUAAUCAGCUAGGUCUAUGCCCAUACGAGAAUUGCGGUCGUACUCGUAUGUUCUUCACAUGUACUUGGCAGUCUUAUGUUGGUUGGAACAGUACUAGCCACCCGGAAAUCAACCAUUUCUACCGUACUGUCCCAAUCUAAGUUCAUUAUAUUUUAUGCAUAAUCUAACUAGGCAUGGCUAAGCAAAAUCUAGCAUAUAUCUGGUUUGCUAUAUAUUCAGGUUAUGCAUUUAAAAUCAUGUAUGGCUAAUGCACAAGAUACUGGAGAUAUAGAAUAUAGGAUUAUUAUGCUCAAAGGAGAGGAAUAAUAAUAACUUGCCUUGCUCCAACGCAAAUAAAUCCGAAAUAGGCAACCUGAUUAUCUGAUGCUUGAAAUACCACAGGUUGCUAUCCAUAUAAAAUAGACUCUACUAAAGAAGAGGAAGAUCCAAAUUCGAUAAAAGCCAUAAAAUAGCAAGAAAGAGAUAAACGGUUAGGAGGACUAGGGUUUAGGGUAUAGCUUAUCUCUUUUAUGCAGGUAUAUGGAUUACUGGGCUGAUAUUUUAUGUGCAGGUUCUAAAGGGUUGGGGGCUAAGGUGGAUAGGAGAUUAAGCAACAAUUGUCGCUUAUAUUUCUUGUGUGGGUUUUGGUUUUUUGGAGAGUAGGAGAUAUACCGAAUAAUCUAUCUGGUUAAGUGGAUAUGUGGCUAGUAUUGGUCGAGGUUGGGCUUUGGUAGAAGAAUGGCUAGGAUUUAGUUGUUCUCGAGUUGAUGUUGAAAUAGGAUAGCAUAUCGGAUCGUAAUUCAUGCAUAGGCUAUGGGUAGUAGGAGGGUAAAUGGUUGUGAUUAUAGCUGGUGGGGAGUCUAGAAAAUAAGCUGACUAAGGUUUCAGUUGUCUAAGCGUAUAUCGAUGUAAGAUAAAUAUCGACUAGGGUUUGGGUGUUCGCUAGUCGUCUCUAAAGCAUGACGACUAGGUUUGGUAUCGUCUCUAGCCGGUGUCGAUAGACAAUAUAACGGCUAGAGGGAUGGGAGGUUUGUGCAGGUUUAGCGAUGCGGAAGUGUUACUCCGACAACCGUGACUGGCGGCGAAGCGGCUAGGAUCACACAGAGCUCAAGAGCUAACUAUGAGGCGUGCUGUGGAGGUCGAGGGAAUAGUGAAGCUCCGACCGUUGUACGCAUCAAGGCGUGGGGUGCUAGGAGCAGCACUUCGACCUUGGGUUUGGUUUUGCUGGGCUUUACAACCAACGGUUCGACGUUGGGGCCAAUAGACCGCAAACGUCCCCAUGGAAGGCGUAAAGUUCCAACCGGCGGCUUUUUAGUGGCUAAAGGGUAUUUUGGGGUAAAAGAAAAUAUUUGAAAAAGGCAAAUAUAAAUUCAAAUGAUAUUUGAAUAAAUUCAAAUAAAAUUAUAAAAUAACAAAUUAGGCAUCAAAACGAAGCAUUUGAAUUUAGAUGAAUUUAGGUCCAGGUUUCACUGAGAUCGGAUAUGCGGUUUAGGAGAUAUAGGCUUCUAAAUAUUGGAAUUUGAAUUAAAUAGAGUAAAUUGCGAAAGUAUACUGUUCAUGGGCCCACCUGUCAGGGAUUCCUUUUUCUUUUUCUUUUUCUCCUCUUCUUCUUCUUCCCGUCUCUUUCUUCUUUUUCUCCUUGGUCGAACAGAGAGGAGAAGGAGAGGGGGCGCCGGGCUCCGGUGGCGAGGAGGCGGUAACGCCGGCGGCCACUGGUGUUCCCGACUGCAACGCACCUAGGGAUGGCAGUGGCCGGCAAAGGGAGUAAGGGAAAUAGCCGGAACGGCGGAUGGAAGGUCGUGAACCGGGAGGAGAGAGAGAGCUCCGGUGAGGUUUGAUUCAGAGGUGGAGGAAGAGGGGAAAGGGGAAAAAUGGAUUCCUCUCAUCGAGGAAAGCUCGAUGGCGCGAGGGAUUGUCCGGUAUUGCUCCGGUGAGGGAGAUCGGCCGACGACAGUGAUAGCCGGCCAUGGAAAGGAGAGAGAAAAGAGAGGAGAGCUUCAAGCUCGGUUUGUGG